UCCGGUUUAACACCGGCAGUCUCCCUAGAGUGCCCAACUAAAUGGUGGCAACUAAGGAUAAGGGUUGCGCUCGUUAAGGGACUUAACCCGACAUCUCACGAUACGAGCUGACGACAGCCAUGCAGCACCUGUCUCCCUGCCCCUUGCGGGGAAAUCCUAUCUCUAGGACUGUCAGGGGAUGUCAAACCCAGGUAAGGUUCUUCGCGUUGCAUCGAAUUAAACCACAUGCUCCACCGCUUGUGCGGGCCCCCGUCAAUUCCUUUGAGUUUUAACCUUGCGGCCGUACUUCCCAGGCGGGGUACUUAAUGCGUUAGCGUCGACACUGCAGGGGUCAAUUCCCGCAACAUCUAGUACCCAUCGUUUACAGCGUGGACUAC
rnacentral:misc_RNA from 1 species